rnacentral:lncRNA from 8 species
CUCUGAGGCAAGGUUGGUAUUGGGGGUCCAUAGAGACAUUUUUGCACACUAUGACUCAGUUUAUUUCUACGAUGGUGGUGACAGACAUCACAAACAGCAGAGCCUGGGAGGUUUCUGGAACAUUCUUGGCUAUGAGGAUGAGGAAGACAAUCUGGGCCAGGAGGAUCAUGAUGGACACGGUGCACUUCUGGAACCCCACAACCACAGAGAGAGUCAGUCAGUUGAUGGAUGAUCAGGAAGAACACCCCUUCCUGGUACUCUAACUUAUCUUUAGUGUAGAGCUGGUUGAUCAGCUUCUUAGCGGGCCUGUACUUGAUGAUCCACUCCCCAUUCUCUGGCAACAGUAGAGAGCUAGAGUUAAUAUGAAUAGUGUCAUGACUUCCAGAUAUGCUGCCUUGAACAAUAUCCAAUUCUGGCUAGAAAAAGAGAGAAAAAUAGAGAGAACGAGAGAGCGAUGGGUGUUGAGAGAACUUUGUAUUUGUUUUUAGGAAAUAUAUAGAGGAUACGGGUAAUGCCUCUACCUGGUCUGCCAAUAAGCACACAGUAAUUUAAACAACAAAUAUGAGGAAGACCAAGUUGGUCAACAUGAUAGACAGCUUACUGAUAUGAAAGGUCUGUGUUUUUGCAUUCAUCCACCUGAUCCUAAUAAAAAAAAAAAAAUCCAAGAAAAUAACAGUUUAAGAAAGGAAGGUACUUUAAUAUUCAGAUGUAUUCACUGUCUUUCUUCAAUCUCUCCCUGUCAGCCAGGCCAGGGACAAUACUCCUAACAAACAUGCUAAUGUCUCCUUUCAGCAUGCUGUCUUGUAAACAGUAAUGGAUGACUGUGACUGUCUAUGGAUGUCUGUGUCUCCCCUGUGUUCAGUUCCCAGACCUACAACGUUAACGAGAUAGAACUAGAGGAGAGGAGGACAACAGAGGAGGACAACCAGCUUGUGGAGUGGGUGGUGAUCGACCCCGAGGCUUUUACAGAAGAACAUGGUGAAGUUCUACCAGUCGAAGAGGAAGUAGUUGACGAUGAUGGAGCGGGCUCUUCGGUAGAUGGCAUUUUAAUUGAAAACAAUCACAGUAAGAGACUUAAUUGUUACCCGGAAAUGAUUUGAUAUUGAAAUAAAAAUAGCUGCAUUGGACCUUUCACACUUCCAAUAGGUAAACACACUGGCUUUGCUUUGUCAGCUAAAGCAAAAAUACUUUGGAUACUUUCCCCAAUGGUGUAGAAAUAUACACAGAUCUAAAAUGAUCUAUUAAUGUAUACUGUAUUCCCCCCCAAAAAACAUUAUUCAUCUCAAAAUACAGAUUCCCUGAGGGCAACACACUGUAGCUAACAUU